rnacentral:rRNA from 1 species
ACACGUGAAAUUCCGUCGGAAUCCGGGAGGACCAUCUCCCAAGGCUAAAUACUCCCUAGUGACCGAUAGUGAACCAGUACCGUGAGGGAAAGGUGAAAAGCACCCCGGAAGGGGAGUGAAACAGUUCCUGAAACCGUGUGCCUACAAGUAGUUAGAGCCCGUUAAUGGGUGAUAGCGUGCCUUUUGUAGAAUGAACCGGCGAGUUACGAUUUGUUGCAAGGUUAAGCGGAAAAAGCGGAGCCGUAGCGAAAGCGAGUCUGAAUAGGGCGCAUAAGUAACAGGUCGUAGACCCGAAACCAGGUGAUCUACCCAUGUCCAGGAUGAAGGUAAGGUAAUACUUACUGGAGGUCCGAACCCACGCACGUUGAAAAGUGCGGGGAUGAGGUGUGGGUAGCGGAGAAAUUCCAAUCGAACUUGGAGAUAGCUGGUUCUCUCCGAAAUAGCUUUAGGGCUAGCCUCGAGGUAAAGAGUCAUGGAGGUAGAGCACUGUUUGGACUAGGGGCCCUUCUCGGGUUACCGAAUUCAGAUAAACUCCGAAUGCCAUGUACUUAUACUCGGGAGUCAGACUGCGAGUGAUAAGAUCCGUAGUCGAAAGGGAAACAGCCCAGACCACCAGUUAAGGUCCCCAAAUAUAUGUUAAGUGGAAAAGGAUGUGGGGUUGCUUAGACAACCAGGAUGUUGGCUUAGAAGCAGCCACCAUUGAAAGAGUGCGUAAUAGCUCACUGGUCGAGUGACCCCGCGCCGAAAAUGUACCGGGGCUAAACAUAUUACCGAAACUGUGGAUGAACCUCUUUAGAGGUUCGUGGUAGGAGAGCGUUCUAAGGGCGGUGAAGUCAGACCGGAAGGACUGGUGGAGCGCUUAGAAGUGAGAAUGCCGGUAUGAGUAGCGAAAGAAGGGUGAGAAUCCCUUCCACCGAAUAUCUAAGGUUUCCUGAGGAAGGCUCGUCCGCUCAGGGUUAGUCGGGACCUAAGCCGAGGCCGAUAGGCGUAGGCGAUGGACAACAGGUAGAGAUUCCUGUACCAGUGCUAAUUGUUUAACCGAUGGGGUGACACAGAAGGAUAGGGAAUCGCACGAAUGGAAAUGUGCGUCCAAGCAGUGAGUGUGAGAAGUAGGCAAAUCCGCUUCUCGCGAAGCAUGAGCUGUGAUGGGGAAGGAAAUUAAGUACGGAAGUUCCUGAUUUCACGCUGUCAAGAAAAGCCUCUAGGAAGAGUAGUACUGCCCGUACCGCAAACCGACACAGGUAGAUGAGGAGAGAAUCCUAAGGUGAGCGAGAGAACUCUCGUUAAGGAACUCGGCAAAAUGACCCCGUAACUUCGGGAGAAGGGGUGCUCUAUUAGGGUGCAAGCCCGAGAGAGCCGCAGUGAAUAGGCCCAGGCGACUGUUUAGCAAAAACACAGGUCUCUGCAAAACCGUAAGGUGACGUAUAGGGGCUGACGCCUGCCCGGUGCUGGAAGGUUAAGAGGAGUGCUUAGCUUCGGCGAAGGUACGAAUUGAAGCCCCAGUAAACGGCGGCCGUAACUAUAACGGUCCUAAGGUAGCGAAAUUCCUUGUCGGGUAAGUUCCGACCCGCACGAAAGGCGCAACGAUCUGGGCACUGUCUCAACGAGAGACUCGGUGAAAUUAUAGUACCUGUGAAGAUGCAGGUUACCCGCGACAGGACGGAAAGACCCCGUGGAGCUUUACUGCAACCUGAUAUGGAAUGUUUGUACCGCUUGUACAGGAUAGGUAGGAGCCGAAGAGACGUGUGCGCUAGCAUACGAGGAGGCAAUGGUGGGAUACUACCCUGGCUGUAUGACCAUUCUAACCCGCCACGCUUAGCGCGUGGGGAGACAGUGUCAGGUGGGCAGUUUGACUGGGGCGGUCGCCUCCUAAAGAGUAACGGAGGCGCCCAAAGGUUCCCUCAGAAUGGAUGGAAAUCAUUCGCAGAGUGUAAAGGCACAAGGGAGCUUGACUGCGAGACUGACAAGUCGAGCAGGGACGAAAGUCGGGCUUAGUGAUCCGGUGGUUCCGCAUGGAAGGGCCAUCGCUCAACGGAUAAAAGCUACCCCGGGGAUAACAGGCUUAUCUCCCCCAAGAGUCCACAUCGACGGGGAGGUUUGGCACCUCGAUGUCGGCUCGUCGCAUCCUGGGGCUGUAGUCGGUCCCAAGGGUUGGGCUGUUCGCCCAUUAAAGCGGCACGCGAGCUGGGUUCAGAACGUCGUGAGACAGUUCGGUCCCUAUCCGUCGCGGGCGCAGGAAAUUUGAGAGGAGCUGUCCUUAGUACGAGAGGACCGGGAUGGACACACCGCUGGUGUACCAGUUGUUCCGCCAGGAGCAUCGCUGGGUAGCUAUGUGUGGCAGGGAUAAACGCUGAAAGCAUCUAAGCGUGAAGCCCCCCUCAAGAUGAGAUUUCCCAUUUCUUCGGAAAGUAAGAUCCCUGAAAGAUGAUCAGGUAGAUAGGUUUGGAGUGGAAGUGUAGCGAUACAUGGAGCGGACAAAUACUAAUCGAUCGAGGACUUAACCAAAA